rnacentral:rRNA from 1 species
CUACGGCAGUGAAGUCAUUGAUGCCAUGCUUCCAGGAAAAGCCUCUAAGCUUCAGAUAGUCAGGAAUCGUACCCCAAACCGACACAGGUGGUCGGGUAGAGAAUACCAAGGCGCUUGAGAGAACUCGGGUGAAGGAACUAGGCAAAAUGGUACCGUAACUUCGGGAGAAGGUACGCUCUUGAUGGUGAAGUCCCUCGCGGAUGGAGCUGACGAGAGUCGCAGAUACCAGGUGGCUGCAACUGUUUAUUAAAAACACAGCACUGUGCAAAAUCGCAAGAUGACGUAUACGGUGUGACGCCUGCCCGGUGCCGGAAGGUUAAUUGAUGGGGUUAGCGCAAGCGAAGCUCUUGAUCGAAGCCCCGGUAAACGGCGGCCGUAACUAUAACGGUCCUAAGGUAGCGAAAUUCCUUGUCGGGUAAGUUCCGACCUGCACGAAUGGCGUAAUGAUGGCCACGCUGUCUCCACCCGAGACUCAGUGAAAUUGAAAUCGCUGUGAAGAUGCAGUGUACCCGCGGCUAGACGGAAAGACCCCGUGAACCUUUACUACAGCUUGGCACUGAACAUUGAACCUACAUGUGUAGGAUAGGUGGGAGGCUAUGAAGACGUGACGCCAGUUGCGUUGGAGCCGUCCUUGAAAUACCACCCUUGUAUGUUUGAUGUUCUAACUUAGCCCCAUUAUCUGGGGUGAGGACAGUGCCUGGUGGGUAGUUUGACUGGGGCGGUCUCCUCCCAAAGAGUAACGGAGGAGCACGAAGGUGGGCUAAUCACGGUUGGACAUCGUGAGGUUAGUGCAAUGGCAUAAGCCCGCUUAACUGCGAGAAUGACGGUUCGAGCAGGUGCGAAAGCAGGUCAUAGUGAUCCGGUGGUUCUGUAUGGAAGGGCCAUCGCUCAACGGAUAAAAGGUACUCCGGGGAUAACAGGCUGAUACCGCCCAAGAGUUCAUAUCGACGGCGGUGUUUGGCACCUCGAUGUCGGCUCAUCACAUCCUGGGGCUGAAGUCGGUCCCAAGGGUAUGGCUGUUCGCCAUUUAAAGUGGUACGCGAGCUGGGUUUAGAACGUCGUGAGACAGUUCGGUCCCUAUCUGCCGUGGGCGUUGGAAGAUUGAAGGGGGCUGCUCCUAGUACGAGAGGACCGGAGUGGACGAACCUCUGGUGUUCGGGUUGUGUCGCCAGACGCAUUGCCCGGUAGCUAAGUUCGGAAUUGAUAAGCGCUGAAAGCAUCUAAGCGCGAAGCGAGCCCUGAGAUGAGUCUUCCCUGACGGUUUAACCGUCCUAAAGGGUUGUUCGAGACUAGAACGUUGAUAGGCAGGGUGUGUAAGCGUUGUGAGGCGUUGAGCUAACCUGUACUAAUUGCCCGUGAGGCUUAACCAUACAACACCCAAGGGGUUUUGUA